GUUUAUGUUUGUAUUUAUGGAAUCAUUGAUAGUGAAACCCAGCAUUAGCAAAACAUAAAGUAGAUGGAGUUUCUUCUUUCUUGUACAAGUCACUGCUUAGUCCAUCAUAUUGAAGCAUUUUACUGAGUUGAGCCAGGGGUGCUCAACCUCAUAUUCCACACUGCAGUCCAGUGGCUUAUCCAUCUCCAGAUGUACACAGAUAAAAGUAGCUUUAACUACAUUGUGUAGCAUGAGAAGGUCAGAGCACAUACCUGAUUAGCAUGAUUUCUGAUAUAAUUUUUCCUACAUUGAUGAAAAGUCAUUGGAUGCUAAACUAAGCCAGUUGAUUUGAUAAAUAGCAUGCAGUCAGUGGCUGGAUGAGAGAAGAGACCUUUCAGAGUCAGGUCUCAAUAGAAUUGUAAGGAGCAAAAAUUAUAUUAACCCUUACAGAGGUUUCUCAGUAACUAUAAACAAUUACAAAGUGUGAUGUAUCAUUCUUAAUAAAUUAAAAAUUGUAAUCAUUGGCAAAUCCUUGUCGUAUAAGAAGAAUACUACAGUUUGGGAUGAACUGUUAAAUGGAAACAGUAACAGUGUGAUCGGUCUGCAUCACACUUCCCUGUCAAUAAUUCAUUUCUUACAACUUUAUGUCCUGUUGUAUUUUAUUUCUUAUUCGUAUCUUAAGUGAGUGGCAGGCAGCAAUAUACCAAAACAGGACAGUACAAACUAUUGACAGAUUAGCAGACUGAUAAUCAUACAGUCAGUCACAAGGUGACAAAGACGAUUCGUAGAACUGUGAAACAACACCAGUGACUUUUUAGUAGCUUUUUUAUGGACGUUUUCUCUUCCUUUUUUCUGUUCCUCCUUUACUACAGGAAAAAAAGCAAAUAUAGCUCUGCACAGUUCCAUUCAUCACUUAUUGAAAUGAAUAUUUGACUCAAUAGAAUAAAUAUAGAAAUUCAUAGAAUGAUUAAAGACAGCAAAUAUCAGGGGAAAAUAAAAGCUUUUAAACCACAGUGACUUUUGCCAGCUAUUAUACAAAGAGGAUUGAAGCUUCUCUGAGGAUAUCUUUCAGUACAUAAUUAUGACGCCUGCUUCUGAAAACCAAAUAAAUCUUAUUCUGAUUAAGUAUGCAUGCAAGGCCAUGUGCCACCUCUUUAAGGGACGGGAAAGCUGGAAUUGUUAGUUUGUUAAAUUAAACAAAAUAAAAAGCUAAACCAAAGACAACAGGAAGGAAUAAUACUGCUUAUAGACGAAAGGUGUUUUUUUUUUUUUUUGGUUUUUACCCAAACCUGACUAUUUAUCCUUUACUGCUUCAUAGGAGCUAUGGAAGAAGGCAAGCGCCUGAAAGGAGUGUCGGCACUAAGCCAAACAACUGUGUAAGUUCUGUGUCCGGAACAGCAGGAUUCUCAAAACCUCGCUUUCCAUCUCCAAAGAGUGAAAAAAAAGUCUUCAACAAUUCUGGUGGUGGACGUUCAGCUGACUAUGAUGAUGAUUACACCAACGUGGGUGACCUCAAUGUGUAUGGGAAUAUCUGAUGACAGAAAAACAGGCUAUCAUGUCUGUUGUUAAGAGCGCUAUACUAAUAAACUGAUUUUACUUCACUUGACAUGUAGCAAUGAAAAAAAUAUUUUGCAUAUUAUAAGUUUCCACUGAACAUCAGCUCCUCUAUCAAAAGUUAUCUUUACGCUUCAUAAGUUAGAGUUUUAGUUCCUUUUACUGACUAAUGAUUAAUCAAUGUACAUACCUACGCACUGAUUCCAUAAAGAAACCCAUCUAAACAUCAACUGAUUUUAUAAAUGUAAAUAGAAAUAUCUUUACCACUGAACCUGCCCUAUCUUUAAAUGAGGAUAAUGAACUUACAAAAAUGCUUGUGAUUUAAAUUUGUUAAAGAAAGACUCGCUUUGCAAAACAGUUUUGUAUGAAUGAUUACAUUCUGUUCAGUUGAUUAGUAACUGUACUAAUAAUACAAAUAAUAUUGCAGCUUCU